CUGUAGACUGUGUAUCGUGAAUGUAGUAUGUGUAUUAAGUGCAGAGUGUGAAUAAUGACUGUAGGGAGUGUAUAGUGAUUGCAGAGUGUGUAUAGUGAAUGCAGUGAGUGUGUAUAGUGAAUGUAGUACGUGUAUAGUGAAUGUAGUACGUGUAUAGUGAGUGUAUAGUGAGUCUAGAGUGUGUAUAGUGAAUGUAGUAAGCUUGGAGUGCAGAGUGUGUAUAGUGAAUGUAAUGAAUAUAUAGUGAUUGCAGACUGUGUAUCGUGAAUGUAGUGUGUAUGUAGUGAGUGCAAAGUGUGUAUGGUGAAUUUAGUAUGUUUGUAGUGACUGCAGAGUGUGAAUAGUGAAUGUAGGGAGUGUAAAGUGACUGCAGAGUGUGUAUCAUAAAGGUUGGGUGUGUACUGAGUGUGUAUAGUGAAUGUGGUAAACUUGUAAUGAAUGCAGAGUGUGCAAAGUGAAUAUAGUGUGUUUGUAGUGAAUGCAGAGUGUGUAUAGAGAAUGGAGUGUGUUUG